rnacentral:lncRNA from 1 species
GCCGAGAUCCGAGACGGCUGUGGCCGCGCGCCGCGCCGCAUUUAGAAGGGAGGGGUUUGAGAGGUUUUAGCUCCCCUCCCGCCGUAACUCGAUUUGUCGUCCCUCUCCUUCCCCUCUCAUCAAUACAAAAAUGCCCCGCUCGACAACAAUCACCAGAGAGAAAACCGCCCACAUUCACCGGUCAACAACUGUUGAUAGAGGUUAGGUUGAUUGGCGGGAAAGUUUGCUUCUGUUUGUUUACAUACAAAAGUUCCGGAAAAGACACUUCGUGUAGUCAUGAGAUUAAAUUUUACUUUUCUUUUCGGCGUAGUUACCAUUUCAAGUGAUAUUAACGAAUCAUCUCGCUCUAUUUAACUUGUAAUUCAUAUCGUCCAACAUCUGCUUUCAAAUCUUUUUUCAUUCCUUGGACUCAUCCUGAUCUCUGCAGGUAAACUAAUCAUGGAAGACUAUGACAUCGCUUUGCUGGAGGAGAAAAGAAGAAGCUCCAUCCGAUAUUUGGAUAAUAUCUUGUCUGGUAAAGAUAAAAUUGGUAGCUACACAGCUUUCAGUAACAGCUGUGAAGGAUUGGUCGAGCUUGCAAGGGUGGCAGGGUUGCAUGAAAAUGAUCUGCUGGAAAUUGCACAAGUUCUUACAGAUCCUACUUUAGAAUUCAGACAUUUUUCAUUCUUACUGGAAUCUUUAAUACCCGAGCAAAAAAUGUCAGAAAAUGUGGUUGAUAUAAUGCUACGGUGGCUUUUACAACAUUGCUGGGAUGACUCACAAGCACCCAAGUGCAAUGUCUUGCUUCAAUGGUUCGCCAGCAGCAUUUUGAAUGGCUUAAUGGAAAAGGAUAUCUUACAAACUUACUUCCUCAGCAUAUUUUUUAUCAUCAAGAAAUUCAACCUGAGCAAGGCUGUGUGUAGUGUUAUUUCACUCAUAGCAGAAUGUGAUUAUUUUAUGGAGUCUCAUAUCGACAUGCUUCUAGCGCUCCAGGAAAAAUGUACCAAAGCCAAAACACCACCAAUGCACUUUACUUAUCUUCUGAGGUUAGUCCAUUAUCGAUUUUUCAAAGUUAGUGAUCAAUUAAAUCCAUCCAUACUUAAACUUGUCGGGGUGUUACUUCACAACGUGUCGGAUCAAUUCUGAUGAAUUUCAAAAUUACAGAAUGUCAAGAAGUCAUACAGAAGAAGUUUCACAGUAAUGGGCUGUAGAAAAUUGUAUAAAUGGGUUAGAAGCAACCAUAAUUUUUAAUUCACUUUUUGAAAAUCAGAGUGAACCAAGCUUCAAGGAAUUUUUUAGGUUUUUUUCAACACUAAAUGAUAAAGAAACCCCGUUUAGAAAAUUCCAAAAAUUUGACUGGUUUGAAAUUAUAUUUAUGGUGAGCUCUGAUGGCCCAGUCAAGAAGGAAAACAACGUUUUCUGAUUGGCUGACCUUAGUUUCAGGCAUCGCCUUGCUACCAGUGUCAACUGGACUGUUGUCUUCGGAUUGAUCGGAUUUUGAUUAACUUUUUCUCUUCUUAGAAAUGAUCUCUUGAACUCAUUUUUAAAUUUUUUUUUUGUUUUUUUCACAUAACUUUGUCCAUAAAAACUAUACUUCAACGCUAUGAAAGUUCCUUGCCUUUGUUCCAUUAUUAUCUUUGUCUCUCGCGGUUGAAAGUAAAAUUAUUUCAAUUAAGGGUACCUCAGUCAAGAAAAAAGUGAGCAGUCUGGUUUUUUGCCAAGACACCUAGCAGUGAUUGUUAGAUUCUUGAAGCAAAUAAUACUAUUAUAUUGACUAAAAUUCUAAGUAUCAUAGGUACAAAAAUUUCACAAGAACACCUGCUCUCUCUUAUGCCCCUCAAUCAUCCUAUUUAAUGAUAUUUUAAAUAAUGGUUGUUUUUUUAUAAUUACCAAUGUUGCCUCUUCAAUUUAUUUUUCAUCAAUACUCUUGACUUUUUGACUUUUCAAAAUUAAAAUCAACUGAGAAAUGGCCUCAAAAUGCUAAUUUAUUACCUUUUCAUGCUCCAGAGAAAGAAAAUAUCAAGUUUCUUCAGUUUGAUGAAAAGUGAAAAUUUUUUAUUGUCUUGUAAUUGUCUUGUUGUUUUAUUGUCACGAAAAUUCAGCGAGUCACAUUUUUUUAAAAAGUCAGUAUCAAACCUGCCACGGUAGUUAUUUUUUGUCCUGUUUUUUCUUCCUUUCAAGGUUUAUAAAACGGUGAGACCAGACCUAGUGCCUUUUGAAGUGAAGAACAGAGCAGGCCUCACUGCGCUAUUAGACAAAAAUAAGUUCUAUGAGCCAAUGCAAACUGCAAGACAACGCAUUACCGGUGAAAGUGUUUUAGAUUGUCUUGACAUUCCCUUUUCCAAUCAGUGGGAAGAAGAGUUGGACCAGGAUCUCACUGUCAACAAAAACAUCAGUGUAUAUAUGAAUGAUAGAAACAAGGUACAAGCCAAGGCUGCAUCUUUUCAAACAACAUUCAUCAUUAGAGAUAAAUUUGAUUGUUAGAAUAUAGAUUCAUUGUUUUGAAUGAGGAAAAAAA